rnacentral:rRNA from 1 species
GCCUACGGGGCGCAGCAGUAGGGAAUCUUCCACAAUGGGCGAAAGCCUGAUGGAGCAACGCCGCGUGGGUGAAGAAGGUCUUCGGAUCGUAAAACCCUGUUGUUAGAGAAGAAAGUGCGUGAGAGUAACUGUUCACGUUUCGACGGUAUCUAACCAGAAAGCCACGGCUAACUACGUGCCAGCAGCCGCGGUAAUACGUAGGUGGCAAGCGUUAUCCGGAUUUAUUGGGCGUAAAGGGAACGCAGGCGGUCUCUUAAGUCUGAUGUGAAAGCCUUCGGCUUAACCGGAGUAGUGCUUUAGAAACU